rnacentral:rRNA from 1 species
GGAUCGGCCGUUGUGGUCUCGCCUCACGGUGAGCACUGCAAGUGUCGUUUCUUACCUUUUCUGGGUGGAUAAGGUGCUCUUUACCGGGUGCUUUAUUCCGGCCAGGAUCUUUUACUUUGAAAAAAUUAGAGUGUUUAAAGCAGGCAAUUUCGCUUGAAUACAUUAGCAUGGAAUAAUAGAAUAGGACUUUGGUUCUAUUUUGUUGGUUUCUAGGACCGAAGUA